rnacentral:tRNA from 1 species
ACCUGGCUGGCUCAGUCAGUAGAGCACGUGACUCUUGAUCUUGGAGUUGUGAGUCUGAGUCCCACACUGGGUG